AGAGUUUGAUUCUGGCUCAGAACGAACGCUGGCGGCGUGGAUAAGACAUGCAAGUCGAACGAGAGAAUUGCUAGCUUGCUAAUAAUUCUCUAGUGGCGCACGGGUGAGUAACACGUGAGUAACCUGCCCCCGAGAGCGGGAUAGCCCUGGGAAACUGGGAUUAAUACCGCAUAGUAUCGAAAGAUUAAAGCAGCAAUGCGCUUGGGGAUGGGCUCGCGGCCUAUUAGUUAGUUGGUGAGGUAACGGCUCACCAAGGCGAUGACGGGUAGCCGGUCUGAGAGGAUGUCCGGCCACACUGGAACUGAGACACGGUCCAGACACCUACGGGUGGCAGCAGUCGAGAAUCAUUCACAAUGGGGGAAACCCUGAUGGUGUGACGCCGCGUGGGGGAAUGAAGGUCUUCGGAUUGUAAACCCCUGUCAUGUGGGAGCAAAUUAAAAAGAUAGUACCACAAGAGGAAGAGACGGCUAACUCUGUGCCAGCAGCCGCGGUAAUACAGAGGUCUCAAGCGUUGUUCGGAAUCACUGGGCGUAAAGCGUGCGUAGGCUGUUUCGUAAGUCGUGUGUGAAAGGCGCGGGCUCAACCCGCGGACGGCACAUGAUACUGCGAGACUAGAGUAAUGGAGGGGGAACCGGAAUUCUCGGUGUAGCAGUGAAAUGCGUAGAUAUCGAGAGGAACACUCGUGGCGAAGGCGGGUUCCUGGACAUUAACUGACGCUGAGGCACGAAGGCCAGGGGAGCGAAAGGGAUUAGAUACCCCUGUAGUCCUGGCAGUAAACGGUGCACGCUUGGUGUGCGGGGAAUCGACCCCCUGCGUGCCGGAGCUAACGCGUUAAGCGUGCCGCCUGGGGAGUACGGUCGCAAGAUUAAAACUCAAAGAAAUUGACGGGGACCCGCACAAGCGGUGGAGUAUGUGGUUUAAUUCGAUGCAACGCGAAGAACCUUACCUGGGCUUGACAUGUAAUGAACAACAUGUGAAAGCAUGCGACUCUUCGGAGGCGUUACACAGGUGCUGCAUGGCCGUCGUCAGCUCGUGUCGUGAGAUGUUUGGUUAAGUCCAGCAACGAGCGCAACCCCUGUUGCCAGUUACCAGCACGUGAAGGUGGGGACUCUGGCGAGACUGCCCAGAUCAACUGGGAGGAAGGUGGGGACGACGUCAGGUCAGUAUGGCCCUUAUGCCCAGGGCUGCACACGUACUACAAUGCCCAGUACAGAGGGGGCCGAAGCCGCGAGGCGGAGGAAAUCCUGAAAACUGGGCCCAGUUCGGACUGUAGGCUGCAACCCGCCUACACGAAGCCGGAAUCGCUAGUAAUGGCGCAUCAGCUACGGCGCCGUGAAUACGUUCCCGGGUCUUGUACACACCGCCCGUCACAUCAUGGAAGCCGGUCGCACCCGAAGUAUCUGAAGCCAACCGCAAGGAGGCAGGGUCCUAAGGUGAGACUGGUAACUGGGAUGAAGUCGUAACAAGGUAGCCGUAGGGGAACCUGCGGC
rnacentral:rRNA from 1 species